rnacentral:rRNA from 1 species
GUAAUGUGAAUUGCAGAAUUCAGUGAAUCAUCGAAUCUUUGAACGCACAUGGCGCCUUCCAGUAUCCUGGGAGGCAUGCCUGUCCGAGCGUCGUUUCAACCCUCGAGCCCCCGUGGCCCGGCGUUGGGGAUCUGCCCAGGCAGGCCCCGAAAACCAGUGGCGGACCCGUUACAGGCCCUUCCUUUGCGUAGUAAUACUGCCUCGCAUCGGGAGCCGGCGGGCUUCCAGCCUCUAAACCCCCAGCAAGUCCGCCUCGGCGGCACCAAGGUUGACCUCGGAUCAGGUAGGAAUACCCGCUGAACUUAAGCAUAUCAAUAAGCGGAGGA